rnacentral:rRNA from 1 species
AUUGAACGCUGGCGGAAUGCUUUACACAUGCAAGUCGAACGGCAGCACGGACUUCGGUCUGGUGGCGAGUGGCGAACGGGUGAGUAAUGUAUCGGAACGUGCUCAGUCGUGGGGGAUAACGUAGUGAAAAUUACGCUAAUACCGCAUACGAUCUAUGGAUGAAAGCGGGGGAUCGCAAGACCUCGCGCGAUUGGAGCGGCCGAUAUCAGAGUAGGUAGUUGGUGGGGCAAAGGCCCACCAAGCCAACGAUCUGCAGCUGGUGUGAGAGGACGACCAGCCACACUGGAACGGGGGUGCGGUCCAGACUCCGCGGGGAGGCAACGGUGGGGAAGUUUGGCCAAUGGGGGAGAGCCUGAUCCAGCCAUCCCGCGUGCAGGAUGAAGGCACUCGGGUUGUAAACUGCUUUUGUACAGAACGAAAAGGUUUCUACUAAUACUAGGAGCGCAUGACGGUACUGUAAGAAUAAGCACCGGCUAACUACGUGCCAGCAGCCGUCGUAA